GAGAAGAGAAGGCCGUGGGUACUGUCUUGCUGAAGAUCUCAGAGCUGAGUUAGUUGAGAGCGAGGACCGGACUUGAACUGAUUCUGCUGCCACUUUGUUUUAG